rnacentral:rRNA from 1 species
GACGGAGGGUGCUAGCGUUGUUCGGAAUGACUGGGCGUAAAGGGCGCGUAGGCGGCCGCUUGCGUCGGAUGUGAAAGCCCGGGGCUCAACCCCGGAACGGCAUCCGAUACGGGGCGGCUCGAGACCGAGAGAGGUGAGUGGAAUACCCAGUGUAGAGGUGAAAUUCGUAGAUAUUGGGUGGAGCACCGGUGGCGAAAGCGGCUCACUGGCUCGGUUCUGACGCUGAGGCGCGAAAGCGUGGGGAGCAAACAGGG